rnacentral:rRNA from 1 species
GGUGAGGUAACGGCUUACCAAGGCGACGAUCUGUAGCGGGUCUGGGAGGAUGAUCCGCCACACUGGAACUGAGACACGGUCCAGACUCCUACGGGAGGCAGCAGUGGGGAAUUUUGGACAAUGGGGGCAACCCUGAUCCAGCCAUGCCGCGUGAGUGAAGAAGGCCUUCGGGUUGUAAAGCUCUUUCGGCCGGGAAGAAAUCGCAUGGGCCAAUACCCUGCGUGGAUGACGGUACCGGAAUAAGAAGCACCGGCUAACUACGUGCCAGCAGCCGCGGUAAUACGUAGGGUGCGAGCGUUAAUCGGAAUUACUGGGCGUAAAGCGUGCGCAGGCGGUUUUGUAAGACAGGCGUGAAAUCCCCGGGCUCAACCUGGGAACUGCGUUUGUGACUGCAAGGCUAGAGUACGGCAGAGGGGGGUGGAAUUCCACGUGUAGCAGUGAAAUGCGUAGAGAUGUGGAGGAACACCAAUGGCGAAGGCAGCCCCCUGGGUCGAUACUGACGCUCAUGCACGAAAGCGUGGGUAGCAAACAGGAUUAGAUACCCUGGUAGUCCACGCCCUAAACUAUGUCAACUAGGUGUUGGGUGGGUAAAACCAUUUAGUACCGUAGCUAACGCGUGAAGUUGACCGCCUGGGGAGUACGGCCGCAAGGUUAAAACUCAAAGGAAUUGACGGGGACCCGCACAAGCGGUGGAUGAUGUGGAUUAAUUCGGUGCAACGCGAAAAACCUUACCUACCCUUGACAUGCCAGGAACUUGCCAGAGAUGGCUUGGUGCCCGAAAGGGAGCCUGGACACAGGUGCUGCAUGGCUGUCGUCAGCUCGUGUCGUGAGAUGUUGGGUUAAGUCCCGCAACGAGCGCAACCCUUGUCGUUAAUUGCCAUCAUUUAGUUGGGCACUUUAGCGAGACUGCCGGUGACCAACCGGAGGAAGGUGGGGAUGACGUCAAGUCCUCAUGGCCCUUAUGGGUAGGGCUUCACACGUCAUACAAUGGUCGGUACAGAGGGUCGCCAAGCCGCGAGGUGGAGCCAAUCCCAGAAAGCCGAUCGUAGUCCGGAUUGCAGGCUGCAACUCGCCUGCAUGAAGUCGGAAUCGCUAGUAAUCGUGGAUCAGCAUGUCACGGUGAAUACGUUCCCGGGUCUUGUACACACCGCCCGUCACACCAUGGGAGCGGGUUCCGCCAGAAGUAGGUAGCCUAACCGCAAGGAGGGCGCUUACCACGGCGGGGUUCGUGACUGGGGUGGAGUCGUAACAAGGUAGCCGUAGGGGAACCUGCGGCUG